UACGUAGGGAGCAAGCGUUGUUCGGAAUUACUGGGCGUAAAGAGUGUGUAGGCGGUGUUCUAAGUCUGUCGUGAAAUCUCCCGGCUUAACUGGGAGGGUGCGGCGAAAACUGGAAUGCUAGAGGAUGGAAGAGGUAAGCGGAAUUCCUGGUGUAGCGGUGAAAUGCGUAGAUAUCAGGAGGAACACCUGUGGUGUAGACAGCUUACUGGACCAUUUCUGACGCUGAGACACGAAAGCGUGGGUAGCAAACAGG
rnacentral:rRNA from 1 species